GAUGAACGCUGGCGGCGUGCCUAAUACAUGCAAGUAGAACGCUGAAGCUUGGUGCUUGCACCGAGCGGAUGAGUUGCGAACGGGUGAGUAACGCGUAGGUAACCUGCCUCUUAGCGGGGGAUAACUAUUGGAAACGAUGGCUAAUACCGCAUAAAAGUCGACAUCGCAUGAUGUUGACUUGAAAGGUGCAAUUGCAUCACUAAGAGAUGGACCUGCGUUGUAUUAGCUAGUUGGUGAGGUAACGGCUCACCAAGGCGACGAUACAUAGCCGACCUGAGAGGGUGAUCGGCCACACUGGGACUGAGACACGGCCCAGACUCCUACGGGAGGCAGCAGUAGGGAAUCUUCGGCAAUGGGGGCAACCCUGACCGAGCAACGCCGCGUGAGUGAAGAAGGUUUUCGGAUCGUAAAGCUCUGUUGUAAGAGAAGAACGAGUGUGAGAGUGGAAGGUUCACACUGUGACGGUAACUACCAGA
rnacentral:rRNA from 1 species